rnacentral:rRNA from 1 species
UGCCAGCAGCCGCGGUAAUACGGAGGGGGUUAGCGUUGUUCGGAAUUACUGGGCGUAAAGCGCACGUAGGCGGAUUAGAAAGUUGGGGGUGAAAUCCCAGGGCUCAACCCUGGAACUGCCUCCAAAACUACUAGUCUUGAGUUCGAGAGAGGUGAGUGGAAUUCCGAGUGUAGAGGUGAAAUUCGUAGAUAUUGGGAAGAACACCAGUGGCGAAGGCGACUUUCUGGCUCGUAACUGACGCUGAGGCACGAAAGCGUGGGGAGCAAACAGGAUUAGAUA